CCCCUCUUGUACUUUCACUCUGCCUUUCUUUUUCUCUCAAUGCACUCCAUCUUACGGCUCUCAUCUUUGUUUAUCCUGAAAAGAAUGAUGAAGAAAAACUGGGAUUAGGCCAGAGGACUAAUUCAAAACAUCUGAAGGACUUGGAAAUCUGACAUGUUGCCUCUGAUGAACUUGAUUGUGGCGUGACAUAAGCAGCGUCCAGAUUCACAUGUUCUUAGACAUUCCUCACGCUCAUUAACAGUUCCUGGCAAACACAAAAACAUGAUGACACACUGAGCUGACAUGGUGGUCAACUAUGUGUGUGUCAGGAGAGUGGAAGUAGGCCAAUGGAGUGACACAGGCCUGGAGACAGGAGACCACGACUGCUCUGUGAAACAUACUGUAACACUUGUACUGUGGAUAAUGGUUUAACACAUGAAUGAAUGAAUAAUGAAUAAACUCAGAGAUCCGGUAUUUACAAGUGUGUUUGCUUUCCAUAUACAUGCUGUGGCAAGAAGCAUCCCUGUCAUGACCGAACAACUCACAGCGUGUGAAAAGUUCACUUUCCCAUAUCCUGCACAGGAGGCACAUUUCACAAUAGAUAAACUUGUCUCUCAGUAAUUGCUUUGCCAGAUGCUGGUAUUUUAUCUUUUUGCAGUAUUAAUACAUUUCAAGUUAGGAAGGUGCUACAUGCAAAAUACACAGUACUUUAAACAAAUUGAAAUCUCAGCAUCCAUAUGUUUUUUUUCAAUUGCUAAUCAAUCAGUUGGCACACUUGAGGUGUGAAAACACUGUGAUUAUGCUUACUUUGUUGUUACAUAUUUGUUCCUGUUUGAAAGGAAAAUGAGUACUAACAGCACACACAUCUUUGAGAUGAAAAUGUAUUCUUGGCCAAGUACAGUGACAAAUAUAACCUAAAGCAAACAAAAGAAAAAAAGAAAAAAAUAUGCAAAAAUGCCAUGGAAUCUGUCCACCCAGCAGAUCAGCUCUAUACAGUUCUUAAGCUGGGAGCAUCAAGAGCUGAUACAAGCUUAUUUCUGUGGUCAGGAUUUCACCCGUAAACAAAAGGAGAUGGGUCAACAAAUUGUUGGUCCGGAAAGUCAUCUGAGGACAGCGGUGUCAGUGUUUCAUAACCACAUUUUGAAUCACAUUAGAGUAAGGAGGCCUCAGCAGCAUGCACCCCGACCACAGAAACGCUCAAACCACAACAGGGCAUGGCAAAUCCUCUGCUGUACUGACAGAGCAACAGUCCAGAAGCCCAAUCAGUCUUCACAGCUGCAUCCGGCAGUCCAACACAGUGUGUGACGGCAGCAGAAAGACAUACGACAGAGCUAUUAUUCUGCGCUGCGAUAUACUGCCGAGGUGUUUCUCUCUGCUUUAAACAUUUGCCAGAGAAAGUCAUACUGAAACUUACUUGAGGCCUCUUUUUUAUUAACAACUUUAUUACUUUAUUUCCAAGUCAAUAUGGUCUUCAGCACAUUACAGGCCAGCAGUCCUUCAGAUCAUCACAUUUCAGUUUUAUGUGUUUAGCUUUUCUCUGAGUGAACUCAUCAGGCUCUGAGCUUGUAAACGUAAGCACAAAGAUGAAAUAGUGGUCUUAAAAGUGGAAACCCCCCCAGCAUUACUCAGAGUUAUUCUUUUUGGCUUAUUCCAAGACAACCAUAUCUCCAGCCUACCAACCUCAAACAAACAUAUGUUUGUUUCUUUUGUUUCUGUCUCCUUUGCAGCUCCUGCUUUGCCUUCUGUCUGCUAGCGUCACUUAGCAGUAGCAUUAGCGACAUGGUUACCACUAGCAGCCUGGCUACUGUGCCAAGCAAGAAAAAACAGCAAGUCACACUAAAAACUUUGAUCUCACUUUGAGUUGAUCUAGUAGAAAGAUUGCCAUGUCAGUGCCGGUUUUGAACCCUGUCAAAUCCCGAUGAUAAGGGAAAACAUAUAGUGCCUGUUAACAGACUUGGAAGUGAAUGCUGUUUGCUCUUCACCACGGUGUCUAUCACACUGCUCUUUCCACAGAUACUCUGGUUGUGUUAUCCCACCGUUACCUUGGGAUAGCUACCAGGAAAAUAAGUAGUCUUAUACUGCAGACAUGAAUGUCAUGUGCCAUAAAUCAAGUCUUCAUUUUUCCAGAAAAAAUCCAGCCCAGUGGCAGAUGGUAUAGCAUAGUGAAAGCGAGGCUUAGAGAACCAAUAGAAACACAGUGCAAUCAGUAUUU